rnacentral:rRNA from 1 species
UACGUAGGUGGCAAGCGUUGUCCGGAUUUAUUGGGUUUAAAGGGUGCGUAGGCGGCUUUCUAAGUCAGUGCUGAAAUAUCCCGGCUUAACCGGGAGGGUGGCAUUGAUACUGGGAGCUUGAGUAAAGUUGAGGUAGGCGGAAUUGACGGUGUAGCGGUGAAAUGCUUAGAUAUCGUCAAGAACACCAAUAGUGAAGACAGCUUACUAAACUUUAACUGACGCUGAGGCACGAAAGUGUGGGGAUCAAACAGG